rnacentral:rRNA from 1 species
CGUAGGUGAACCUGCGGAAGGAUCAUUGUUGAGAUAGGAGGACAAAUGACUUGAGAACUUGUUGAAUCGAUCAUAUGAAAUCCUGCCUACAAAGUUUUCAACACAAGAGUUCGUUCUUUGAUUGGCUUCUUUGUUGGAGGGCAUUGCCAUGCUGCUCCAUCCUUGAUGGUUGCGGGCGAUGGCAAAAGGAUUGCGGGCACGGCAUGUGUCAAGGAUAUAUAAGUCGUUCACCGCACGCAUUGUCUUUUGACGCUCGAAUCAAAAGCAUGCACGGUUGGCUGUCACGUAUAAUCAAAGAUAUGACUCUCGACGACGGAUAUCUAGGCUCUUGCAUCGAUGAAGAACGUAGCAAAAUGCGAUACUUGUUGUGAAUUGCAGAAUCCCGUGAACCAUCAAGUCUUUGAACGCAAGUUGCGCCCGAGGCCUCUCGGUUGCGGGCACGCCUGCCUGGGCGUCACACCUCAUGCUGCUCCAUCCUUCCAUCCCUUGUUGUGUUAGGUGGAAGCGAAUAUUGGUUCACCGUGCUUUUACAGUUGCGGUGAGCUUAAGUAUGACGAUGCCGAUGGAGCGUGGGAGUACACGACACGUGGUGGGCAAAAGAAUAUUUUUGACGGAUCUGAUGUCGUUCUCUCCUCGCCAUAUGCUCCCAAGCGUGAUUAAGGGACCAAGUGUGAUGUGUUUUCCCUUGUAUUGCGACCCCAGGUCAGACGGGACCACCCGCUGAG